rnacentral:rRNA from 1 species
UACAGAGGUCCCAAGCGUUGUUCGGAUUCAUUGGGCGUAAAGGGUGCGUAGGCGGAUCUUUAAGUCAGGGGUGAAAUCCUGGAGCUCAACUCCAGAACUGCCUUUGAUACUGGGGAUCUCGAGUCCGGAAGAGGUGAGUGGAACUCCGAGUGUAGAGGUGAAAAUUCGUAGAUAUUCGCAAGAACACCAGUGGCGAAGGCGGCUCACUGGCGUCGGUACUGACGCUGAGGUGCGAAAGCGUGGGGAGCAAACAGG